CCAACGGCCCUUAUCAGGGCCACAAAUUACUCAUACGUCCGACAU
rfam:Harpegnathos saltator strain R22 G/1 HarSal_1.0_2.contig457, whole genome shotgun sequence.